GGAUGUGGCUCUGGAGAAGCUCAGAUGAGUACCGAAGGUGCAAGGCGGGAAAUCCCGCUGAAUCUCUCAGGUAAAAGGACAGAGUAAAGGGC
rfam:Oscillibacter sp. KLE 1745 genomic scaffold Scaffold319, whole genome shotgun sequence.